UGGUGUGGAGACUGGAGACGACGUGCAGAAAUGGCAACUCGAAAGGGGAAGGAAAAGAAGGAAGAACAGGUCAUCAGCCUCGGACCUCAGGUGGCUGAAGGAGAGAAUGUAUUUGGUGUCCGCCAUAUCUUUGCAUCCUUCAAUGACACUUCCGUCCACGUCACUGAUCUUUCUGGCAAAGAAACCAUCUGCCGUGCGACUGGUGGGAUGAAGGUGAAGGCAGAGACUGAGACGAAUCCUCGCCAUAUGCUGCUAUGUUGGCUGCCCGGGAUGUGGCCCAGAAGUGCAAGGAGGUGGGUAUCACUGCCCUACGCAUCAGACUCCAGGCCACAGGAGGAAAUAGGACCAAGGCCCGGGGACCUGGGGCCCAGUCGGCCCUCAGAGCCCUUGCCCGCUCCGGUAUGAAGGUCGGGCCGAUUGAGGACGUCACCCCCAUCCCCUCUGACAGCACUCGCAGGAAGGGGGGUCACCAUGGUCACUGUCUGUGA